rnacentral:rRNA from 1 species
AUGGAGGGGCAGCAGCAGGGGCAACAGCAGGGCCAGCAGCAGGGCCAACAGGAAGGCCAGCAGCUGGAGGGGCAACAGGAGGGCCAGCAGCAGGAGUGGCGCCAACAAUGGGAAGAGUGGUGGUUGCUGUGGCAGGGGCAUUGGCAAGUGCAGUGGCUGGAGUGGCAGAGUCAAUGGCAAGAGUGGUGGCAGCAGUUGCAGCUGCCGCUGCAGCAGCAGUGGGAGAACUGGCUGUUGCACUGGCAUCAACACUUUGAGCAGUGGCAGAACCUGUGGUACGAGCAAUGGCAGCAAUGGGAGCAGCGGUGCCAGGCGCAACAACAUCAACAAUGGUGGGAGUGGCCGCAGGACCAGUGGCAAUUUCAGCAGUGGCAACAACAAUUGCAGCACGAAUGGCAACAGUGGCAGCAGCAUGGGGAAUGGCAGUGGCGGCUGUGGCUACAACAGGUUCAGUGGCAGCAGCAGGAGCCGUGGGAGCUACGUCUGCAGUUUCAACAAUGGCAGCCUCAUUGGCGGCAGCAGUGGCACAUGUGGCAUCAAGACUGGCAGCAGCAGUGGCGUCAAUGGCAACAGGGCCAACAGCAAUGGCGGGAGCAGCGACAAUGGCAGUGGCGGCAGUGGCAGAAGGAUGAGCGGUGGCAGGAGCAGGAGCGGUGGCUGCGCCACCGGCUAACCAUCAAUAUGCAUUUGAUACCUGUGUCCUAUGCUUUGAGUUUCAAGCCACUCACCACUUCUCUUGUAUUCGAAGACAAAGAGGGCGCUAAAAUCCCUAUGCUCGAGAAUACAACCUUCGGCAAUUUAGUUGCCGACGGCUUUGUUAAUGAGAUAAUUGCGGCACAUCGUCGGAACCUGAGCUGGGCUGGUGAUUUCUGCGAGGAUGAUUUAUUUGUAUCUGAGGGCGAGCAUUUUGUUACCAUUGCUAAAGAACCAACGAAGUCAGCAACAGAUGAUAACCAGUUUCUGGAUUUAAUUCAGAUAACAAAUUGGUUUGCUGAUAAGUAUACUGAGAAUCAAAUGGUGCCGUCUUAUUUUGAAGAGUUUGUUGACAGAGUAUAUAAAAUACCAAGUUGGCAAAAUCAAUGUGAUUGA